UACGUAGGGUGCGAGCGUUAAUCGGAAUUACUGGGCGUAAAGCGUGCGCAGGCGGUUGUGCAAGACAGAUGUGAAAUCCCCGGGCUCAACCUGGGAACUGCAUUUGUGACUGCACGGCUGGAGUGCGGCAGAGGGGGAUGGAAUUCCGCGUGUAGCAGUGAAAUGCGUAGAUAUGCGGAGGAACACCGAUGGCGAAGGCAAUCCCCUGGGCCUGCACUGACGCUCAUGCACGAAAGCGUGGGGAACAAACAGG
rnacentral:rRNA from 1 species